AUGGAGCAGUCAAAAAUGCCAGCUAUGGUAGCUAGAUUCGCAGGUGUAUCUCAUGUUAAACAAUUGGGAACUGCUCCUGCACCAGAUCAGCUCGGUUGCCGUGUCAGCAUCCCAAGCAAAACAACUCUCCUUGAUUCUCAUUCCAAUGCCAAUCCUUGUGUCUUCUCGUCGGUGCAAAAGCUAGACCUUCUUCCAAAGUCACAUUGUUGCCCCAAUGCUGAUUGGACAGUGGAACCGCGUAAUGUUCAAGAUGCCUUUCGGCAGAAAAUAGUCGAACAUGCCAAACUGAAAGUUACAACAAUGCUGGAGCACAACUCUUGCAUAAGAAUUACAAAGUUCAGACUGAUAUUCCUUGCCGGUUGCCCAGUGGAAGGGAGCAGUACUAACGGCGUGCCACAGGUCAGUUUACUGCUUAUCGGCUACUUUUCUUUGUUCCAUGCCGGGGAAUCAAGCAGUUAUUCAUGGGUUGGGAGCCCCACAAUGCUUCACAAGAAACAGGUGCGCGACCUGCCUUUUGCUUUCUUCAGCGACCCUGAGUUGAUGCUCAUCUUGGCUGCUGCUCUCGUUGCCGUUUGUUAUGGCAGUGAUCGGAACAGAAAUCCUGCAGAGCUCAGCACCGGCUACUUUUGGAUCCCAUUGACGCGGAUGGCUCUGGAGCCAAUAAUUCCAGUGACAGCACACAGGUCUCGCCGGAUAUCAGAAGCUCACUGUCUGACAUCUCAAUGUUGUAAAGCCGCCAGUAUCAGGAAAAGGCGGUUCAGGGGCCAUCAGAUUUUGAACAGAAAUGGGAACCAAAAGGAUGGUAGAGGAACAAGAACUGGUGUUGAUGGUAGAGGGCCGGUUUACCCGACGUGUUGUUUUCGGUGGGCCAAAGAUGCCAGUUCUAAGGCCCUGUUCGAAUCCCCUCCGCUCCUCAACUGCAGCUCCCGGAGCGGAGGGAGCGCCAGCACAAUCGCGCGGAGCGGCUCCAACCCAGCUCCUCAUGCGGAGCGGAGUUGA
rnacentral:rRNA from 1 species